UCACAGCACCAUAUACAGAAUGGGCACCCAGUGCAUUGUGAUACCAAAAGAAAUUUGCCAGAAUAUUCCACACUCAUCAAUAAAGCGGAAGGCCCUGGAAGUGUUGACAACAUCUAGAUGAUGGACAGAAUGCAGUGGAGUCUGUUUCUGGCAGUCUGGAGUAGUGAGCCCUAAGCACGUGGCCAGCAUUAAACGCAUUUAAAUGGAGAUACAUCUUUGAGAUCAAUAGGGAGUCCAGGAGCUGAUUUCCAUGGAGAAGCUGAUGAGUUGAGAACCUGAGCAGAAAGUGGUACUUUUACCUGUGUACCCCUUGAUUUGAAGAACAUCUCCUUGAAGUAUUGGGACAUUCCGUUCUUGAAUCUCCAUCUCUCAUUCUGAAACUUUUGAAAACCCAUAAAGAGAAGAGCCCAAGGAUGUGAAAGAAGGCUUGGAACAUGAUGAUGGUGAAAUAGCUCUCCUGGGGAAAUGAAGGGACACUCUCACCCCGAAUUCACCUGAAUGUGUGGCGUCCAGUGAAAGGGACCAGAGAGGAUGGUGUUUGUGAAAUGUACACGUGACCUUUCCAGCACUGAUGCCCCUGUAGAUGUUUUCCCAGCCCCCUUUACACUAUCCACACAGCAUGAUGUGCUUGGGCAGGCCUUUUGCCUCAUUUUUAAGCCUCGAAGAUGGAAUUAAGAAGGUGGUACGAACAGAAUGAAUGGAAGCAAAUGAAAUGCAAAAAGAAGCAUUUAUUCAACCUCAGGAAGAUAGACAAAUAGGUCUUUCUUAAGUUGGUAUAGAACUAUUGGAUCAUUCCUUAUAGAAUUGUUCCUUCUUAAUUUUAGUAAAUAUUUCAAUUUGGGGGAAAUACCUUCCCUCACUAAUAAGAUAUAAAAUGAGUACACUUCACAUAUUUGCAGCUCUUUCUCUAGAAUUUCAUGCUAAUUUUGCCUCUCUCCCUCCUCUUGGUAUUUCUUUCUGUGCAAGUCAUUCCUGUAUGUUUCUUCCAAUGUGUUUUGCACCAAGAAAACACAGCAGAGCAUCAAAGCUAAGCAGAACAGAUCAAGGCAGAGCUUCACCUUUCUCCGUGAAGUGCUUCCAGACUUCUUCAGAUGUAAAGCUCUUGAAGGCAGGAAACAUGUCUAUUGUAUCUUUGUUGGUAUCCGGCACAUAUUAGGUACACAGUAAAUUAUCUGACGGUAUCAAUUAAUGAGCAAACAAGAAUGGAAGAAGAAAGUAGAUGUUUUUAUAAGGCUCUCGAAGAAGAGUUAUAGAACAUUUUGGAAAUGGGCCCACUUUGUUUCCAAAGGAAAUUUUACUUUCAAAUUAAAAAAAAAAAAAAAAAGUUUACCCAAAUGAGAUUUUGGGGGAUUUCAUGUGAUUAACUCUUUACAUUAUCUUGUAGUAAUUAUACAGAAAUCUCUAUUUAUGUAAACAUGGUGAAUGCAUCAUAACACUAGAAUAAGUGUACAAAUACUGCAUGUCAAAUUAGGUUAUAAUCACUUUCAAGGGACGUGAUUUCCUAGUUAAACAGAUUCGUUUACAUCUUGCGAAAUAAAAAAUAAGUGAAAAUAACUAUAUAAAAUCAGGCUUACAGCUGGACAGAUCUUCUUGGCAAUGGUCCAGGCACUGAGCAGGGAAAGCCCUCCAGCUGAGGGCUGCUCAGGAUGCCCAAGAUGACUGCAGGCUCGGCCUGGAGAGGGGCCUUUGCCUGCUGUCCUGACUUCUCUCGGUCCCUGGCUGUCUGUGGGGAGAUGGGCUUGUCUUCACAUUUUGACUGAGACGCUCCGCCGUGAGGGGUUUGUGGAAGGUUGCAGGGGAGAUUGGAACCUUGCUCGGUAGAGGAGAAAACAAAGCCAGUUCAAUACUCCACCCUUAGGUAAAAAGCAUAGUAGGAUGAGUCAGGGAUCCUCUAACUGGAAAGCAAAUAGUUGAAGUAGAUUGGAAUCGCGGGAGCUCAGAGUCCGAGUUUGAGAACCACCGACCAUUUGGUCCAACGCUCGUAACACAGAUGAGGAAACCGGCUGCAAGGCCAGAAGUGGCCUGAGACGGAGACCCAUAACUUUCCUUCCAGACCUGGUGCUUCUCUGUGGGAAAACCAGAGCUCACCCUGUUAAGGGACUUUUUAAAAAGCUGUUCAUGUUGAUGCAUAUUUAAAAAAAAAAAAUACCUUCUGCGUCACCCUGGCUCAGCUGACACCGCCUGCGAUGUCCCCUGGCUCGGUGACGGAGGGCCGUCCGGUGACCCCAGCCGGGCGCAGCGGAGCAUGUGGCUCUGGACUCUGGGCCAACCGGACACAGUUGGCCUUUCACGAAGCUUCAGUAAACAGGGGGCUUUGGGUUAUCUUUUCUCCGUGUCCCCAUCAUAUUCAUCUGCUACUUAUUUUCAUGAAUUACAAGAAGUUACCAAAGCAGUGAUUUUUUUUUUUUCUUUUAACCCAUGAAUUCUGACUUGGGGGUAACUCCACAUUUCUGCUAUUGAAUACUUUCCUGUUGUUGGUGUUUAAUUGAUACUCCUGUUUGUUUAAAAUAUAUUUGUUGAGCACUCGUUCUAUGCCAUGCUGCAUGUACAUUAGCUGCUUCUCGUGUUCCGUUGGUUGAAUUGUCCUGAGCAGGGCUUGGCAAACGAUGGCCUGUGAGCCAAAUCUGGCCCACUGCCUGUUUUUGUAAAUAAAAUUUUAUUGGAACACAGU